rnacentral:rRNA from 1 species
GAUGAACGCUAGCUACGGGCUUAACACAUGCAAGUCGAACGGAUUGUGGAUUCGUCUGGAAUUAGUGGCAAACGGGUGAGUAACACGUAUCCAACCACCCUGCGACUCGGGGAUAGCCUCUUGAAAGGGAGAUUAAUAUCCGAUGUACUGUUUUUGGUGCAUGCCAUUUUCAGUAAAGUUUUUUACGGUCGCUGACGGGGAUGCGUUCCAUUAGAUAGUCGGUGUGGUAACGGCUCACCGAGUCUAUGAUGGAUAGGGGUUCUGAGAGGAAGGUCCCCCACAUUGGAACUGCGACACGGUCCAAACUCCUACGGGAGGCAGCAGUGAGGAAUAUUGGUCAAUGGGCGAAAGCCUGAACCAGCUAUGUAGCGUGAAGGAUGACUGCCCUAUGGGUUGUAAACUUCUUUUGUUCGGGAAUAACAGACUUCACUUGUGGAGUUUUGCAUGUACCGUUCGAAUAAGGAUCGGC